AGAUGGAUUCAUGACAAAAUUGUGCUUUGGUGAUGGUGAUGUGUUUUAAGUUCUUACUUUACUGAACAUUCUUGCUACUUACAAUUAUCUCUAUCUAUAAUGAGCUUUGCCCAUUAGUAACUUAGGAAAUUAUUUUGUAAAAAUUUACAAAAAUUAACCAAAUUAAUGAAAAUUGUUAAAAAUUGACUAUAAAGGGCAAUAACUCCCUUAAGGGGUCAACUAACCAUUUUGGUCAUGUUGACUUAUUUGUAGAUCUUACUUUGCUG
rnacentral:lncRNA from 1 species